rnacentral:rRNA from 1 species
UUUUCCGGUGAUCCUGCCGGACCCCACUGCUAUCGAGGUGGGACUAAGCCAUGCUAGUUGAACGACCCGGACUAUGGCGGGAAGUGGCAUACUGCUCAGUAACACGUAGCUAACCUACCCUCAAGACGGGGACAACCUCGGGAAACUGAGGUUAAUACCCGAUAGGCGUGGACACCUGGAAUGGUUCCACGCCUAAAUGUAAUUAUACCAUGUUUGUAUGCGCGCUUGAGGAUGGGGCUGCGGCCGAUCAGGCAGUUGGUGAGGUAACGGCUCACCAAACCUUUGACCGGUACGGGCCAUGAGAGUGGUAGCCCGGAGAUGGGCACUGAGACAAGGGCCCAGGCCCUACGGGGCGCAGCAGGCGCGAAACCUCCACAAUUCACGAAAGUGAGAUGGGGCUACCUCGAGUGCCGUCUAAAAAAGGCGGCUUUUCCAUUGUGUAACUAGCCGUGGGAAUAAGGGGGGGGCAAGACUGGUGUCAGCCGCCGCGGUAACACCAGCCCCCCGAGUGGUGGGGAUGAUUAUUUGGCCUAAAGCGUCCGUAGCCGGCUCAUUAAAUCUCCCGUUAAAUCCAACGUCCUAAGCGUUGGGCUGCGAGAGACACUGUUGAGCUAGAGGGUGGGAGAGGUCAGCGGUAUUUCUGGGGUAGGGGCGAAAUCCAUUGAUCCCAGGAGGACCACCAGUGGCGAAGGCUGCUGACUAGAACACGCCUGACGGUGAGGGACGAAAGCUGGGGUAGCGAAUCGGAUUAGAUACCCGAGUAGUCCCAGCCGUAAACGAUGCAGGCUAGGUGUUGGGUUGGCCACGUGCCAGCUCAGUGCCACAGGGAAGCCAUUAAGCCUGCCGCCUGGGGAGUACGGCCGCAAGGCUGAAACUUAAAGGAAUUGGCGGGGGAGCACCACCAGGCGUGAAGCCUGCGGUUUAAUUGGAGUCAACGCCGGGAAUCACUAGU